CUUUCUAAAAUACCAUACUUAUUCUUUGCAGGAUUGUGGCUGGACAAGGUAUCGGAUUGGAGUUCGGGAUGAAGGCAGGAUGGAGAGCUCCAUGCAUUAAAUAAUGGCCCCUGUAGUAAUAAGAUGGAGAACUCGGCAUUAAAUGAGGGCAGGGUGGAGAGCACUAUACAUUAAGAAGAUGAAGGCAGGAUGGAGAGCUCCAUGCAUUAAAUAAUGGCCCCUGUAGUAAUAAGAUGGAGAACUCGGCAUUAAAUGAGGGCAGGGUGGAGAGCACUAUACAUUAAGAAGAUGAAGGCAGGAUGGAGAGCUCCAUGCAUUAAAUAAUGGCCCCUGUAGUAAUAAGUAAGCAUACAUUAGUUUUUAUGGUCCAUUUUCGUUUUAUUGCUAAUUCGUCAGUUUUGAGUGAAGGCAAUUU